UGUAUGUAUAUAUCAGUGCUGCUGACCUGGAUCUAAAAGUUGUAAUCGAUCGAAGCGCUCUCUGCGUAAGUUCCCUCGGUUCCAAACCAUUCGAAGGUGGUACUCUCCACCGGGAAGUAGCGCAACACAAUAUUAGACAAAACGCGGUCGGUAAAAGACCUGAAUCUGAGUCGGUAACCAUACCAACAGG